rnacentral:misc_RNA from 1 species
AACCCAAACCCCCUAGAUCGUCCAGAUUCUCGGUCAAGUAUAACUUUGGCUUCAACAAUAUUUCCAAAGCUGUCAAAUGCUGCUUUCAGUCCCUGGUCAUCAGUGCUAUAAGAUAGACCUCCAACAAAAAGCUUUGAUGACAUGUGGCGAACAGCAUUUUGCAGAUGCAUCAUGGGAGCUGGCCCAUUUGAUACACAGUUUUUCAAGGUGCUGGAGGGGAUCAAGCUCCCGAGCUUGCUGCGAAAAGCCAUCUCUUUCGAAUAUCUGGCGCAGCUUGGGAGAGAUGAAGAGUGAGAAAGGGGA